UCGGCGCCCACCGGGGCGGCGGCGGCGCUUUACGGCGGUAGCGACUUGGAGGUGCCAUUGCAGGCGUACGGCGGUAGCGCACCUGGUAACGCCAGCUUCUUCAGCGGAUGCGCUGCCGCCAGCGGCAGCGGUGUCGGCGGCGGCAGCCGCCAGGCGGUGCACAAGCAGCGGAGCUUCAUGCGGCAGCUUCUCCGUGCUAAGUUCCAUGGGCCCGCCGGCGGCGGCGGAGCCGCUGCCGUCGGAUGCACCGCACCGGGCGGCAACACCAACUCCUCCGAGCCGACUCACAAAGCAGUGUUAGAGUUGCUGCCACAGCCUAGCCCGUCAGCUUCAGCUCCGGAACCCCAUCUUGCUGCGGCUGUGGCGGCGGGUGGUACGGCCAUGGACAGCAGGUCCACGCCUUCGAGGAGCCCUUUAGGGUGAGCGGAGGAGGAAGGUUCCGGAGCCACAGCUGCGCAUUGCCGAUUGCGAAAAGCGCUUUAGGUUACUCAAGCCAGCCUCAGUGUUUUGGAAGGCCGGAAGGGCCGGAAGGGCCGGAAAAAACUAUUGUCUAACACAGAGACAGAUCGCCAUUGACAAACGGCCCAUCUGGGGGCCCCCCAUCUUCGUGCCUGCCAUGCCUGACGCCUCCCGCAGCCCCCGCAGGAUUCUCAGCCGCGGGUUCUCCGCGG
rnacentral:lncRNA from 1 species